UACGUAGGGGGCAAGCGUUGUCCGGAAUCAUUGGGCGUAAAGGGUCUGUAGGUGGCCAACUAAGUCAGACGUGAAAUCCCUCAGCUUAACUGGGGAACUGCGUCUGAUACUGGAUGGCUCGAGUGUGGGAGAGGAAUGCGGAAUUCCAGGUGUAGCGGUGAAAUGCGUAGAUAUCUGGAGGAACACCGGUGGCGAAGGCGGCAUCCUGGACCAACACUGACGCUGAUGAGCGAAAGCCAGGGGAGCAAACGGG
rnacentral:rRNA from 1 species